AAUGUUUGAAGGGGAUGAUGGCGGGAAUGGAAAUAAUGAAUGGAGUGUUGUAGAAAAACGGAAAAGAAAGAAAAAUAGCGCAUCUGAAAACGAUAGUGAUAAUGGACCUCGUCUGACAAGAAGAAGGAAAGAGGAGUAUAAGAUCAGUAGGUGGCGGUAAUGCACCUUUUUCGUUGGUUUGCCAAACCGCCAUAAAACACCAGAAGAAGAAGAAGAAGAAUGACCGGGAAAAUCGGACAGGACUGAGAAGAUGACAACAGCACAGCGGGGUUUUAGAAGCCCAUCAGAGUGAUUUUCUGAGUUCUUUCACAUAUGCUGUAUGGUCAGCGAAUGGAUGGAUUAUCCAGUCACGGUACAUAAUGAAAG